UACGUAGGGUGCAAGCGUUGUCCGGAAUUAUUGGGCGUAAAGAGCUCGUAGGUGGUUUGUCGCGUUGUUCGUGAAAACCUGAGGCUUAACCUUGGGCGUGCGGGCGAUACGGGCAGACUGGAGUACUGCAGGGGAGACUGGAAUUCCUGGUGUAGCGGUGGAAUGCGCAGAUAUCAGGAAGAACACCCGUGGCGAAGGCGGCUCUCUGGAACGCAACUGACGCUGAGACGCGAAAGCGUGGGGAGCAAACAGG
rnacentral:rRNA from 1 species